rnacentral:lncRNA from 1 species
AGCCCGCCAUUACGCCCGGCUCAUUUUUUGUAUUUUUAGUAGAGACGGGGUUUCACUGUAUUAGCCAGGAUGGUCUCCAUCUCCUGACCUCGUGAUCCUGACCUCGGCUUCCCAAAGUGCUGGGAUUACAGGCGUGAGCCACUGCGCCCGGCAGCAAUAUGAAGUUCUAAAAGCAAGUCUUAAUCAGGAAGUGUCCUUGAUCACCAACUGCUUGCCCAGGCACGCUGGCUCUCUUACACUUCCACCUCCCACCAUGGGAUGACACAGUAAGAAGGCCGUCAGUAGAUGCCAGUCCCUCAGCCUUGAACCUUCCAGACUCAGAACUUUUAAACAUUUCAUUCCAUCAUCGUCUUGUGUUCCUGGUUUCUAUGAGAACUGCACUGUCAUUCUUAUUCUUGUUUCUCUAAAUAUAAGGUGUUUCUUUUCUCCUUGGGCUUCUUUCAAGAUUUUUCUCGUUGACUCUGGUUUGCUUAUGACAUGCCUAGGUGUAGUCCAUUUUGAGUAUUAUGUAAUGAGACACCAGAUCUUAUUUCAACCUUCUGUUUUGGCUGGAUUUCCUGUGAAACUGCUCUGGCAGCAAAGGAGGAAGGGUUACUCCCAGUUAGGGUUAUAAUUCCAGGUCCCUCACCUGGCCACUGGGGAAGAGGCUCUGCAUUACUGCGUGACAGAGAUGCAGGUUCUGGAUCACCUCUAGGCCUCCACUGAGAC